GUACUGCCGAAUCAGUACAUACACUAGAAUUGGAACAAUACAGAGAAUAUUAGCAUGGAUCCUGCGCAAGCAUGACACGCAAAGUCGUGAAGCGUUCCACAUUUUA